ACUUCUUGGCAUGGAUUGAGAGCUAUGGUUACCUAUCCUAGCCAUUGACCACAAAUAUAUGAUGAUUAUGAAGAGUUAAUCCUACUUAGUUAAACCUAACAUUGAGGAUAAGUCAAUUAGGAAUAAUUGAUUUCAAUCCACAAGUCCUACUCAACUCUAUUAAUGGAAGACUUAGAGUUAGUGGAAACCAAAUCAACUAACUACUCUAAUAUAUCAAUCAAGAAUGGACAUCAAUGACUCAAGGGUCACCAAAGUCCUCAAUUCCAAGCCAAGAGUGAGGAAAAUUAAGCAAAAACUAAGCCAAACAUUUUUAUCAAACAAUUGGUGUACAUGAAAAUAAAAUCAUAUUAAAUUGCAAUCAAAAUAAAUAACUAAAAAAUUAUUAUUU